CGCUCAGGUGGCCUAGUGGUUAGAGCGUCCGCCUCGGACGCGGGAAGUUGUGGGUUCGAACCUCGGUCGAGUCA